UCGAGAAUCUUCGGCAAUGGGCGCAAGCCUGACCGAGCGACGCCGCGUGCGGGAUGAAGGCCCUUGGGUUGUAAACCGCUGUCAGAGGGGAUGAAGUGCCGGAAAGCUAUCUUUCCGGUUUGACAUAGCCUCAGAGGAAGCACGGGCUAAGUUCGUGCCAGCAGCCGCGGUAAUACGAACUGUGCAAACGUUAUUCGGAAUCACUGGGCUUAAAGGGUGCGUAGGCGGCCAUGUAAGUAGGGUGUGAAAGCCCCCGGCUUAACCGGGGAAUGGCGCUCUAAACUGCAUGGCUGGAGUGAGAUAGGGGUGUGUGGAACUUCCGGUGGAGCGGUGAAAUGUGUUGAUAUCGGAAGGAACGCCGGUGGCGAAAGCGACACACUGGAUCUCAACUGACGCUGAGGCACGAAAGCCAGGGGAGCAAACGGG
rnacentral:rRNA from 1 species